GUACACUCCUGCGGGAGGCAGCAGUGGGGAAUUUUGGACAAUGGGCGAAAGCCUGAUCCAGCAAUGCCGCGUGAGUGAAGAAGGCCUUCGGGUUGUAAAGCUCUUUUGUCAGGGAAGAAACGGUGAGAGCUAAUAUCUUUUGCUAAUGACGGUACCUGAAGAAUAAGCACCGGCUAACUACGUGCCAGCAGCCGCGGUAAUACGUAGGGUGCAAGCGUUAAUCGGAAUUACUGGGCGUAAAGCGUGCGCAGGCGGUUUUGUAAGUCUGAUGUGAAAUCCCCGGGCUCAACCUGGGAAUUGCAUUGGAGACUGCAAGGCUAGAAUCUGGCAGAGGGGGGUAGAAUUCCACGUGUAGCAGUGAAAUGCGUAGAUAUGUGGAGGAACACCGAUGGCGAAGGCAGCCCCCUGGGUCAAGAUUGACGCUCAUGCACGAGAGCGUGGGGAGCAAACAGGAUUAGAUACCCGGGUAGUCCCAU
rnacentral:rRNA from 1 species